UAAAAUCAUAUAAAAUGCAUCCACUACACCAAACACCCAUUACCAUAACACAUCAUUAUAAUACUAUUUAAAAAGAGUUAUUGUAUAUAUAAAGUUAAUAACUACAGUCACAAGCGCGGGAAGGUAAAAAUAAAAGCGGCAAGUGAAAAAAAAAAGAGGCAAAUUUUCCUUCUCAUUUUCCCUAUCUCCGAAGUCCUCGUCUCUUUCUCUCUCUCUCUCUCUGUCUCGGUCUUCAUCUCUUUCUCAUUUUCCCUCCCGAAGUCUUCAUCUCUUUCUCUCUGUCAACCAUCUCUUUCUCUCUGUCUCAUUUUCCCUAGCUCGGACCGAACCCUCUCUUUCUCUCUGUCUCAUUUUCCCUAGCUGGGACCGAACCAUUGAAACAGGUGUGUUCUGAAUUCCAUCUUCGAUAUUGGAGGAGACCAUGAUAGCAGCAGUGAUGUUCAGUCACAGAUAGAAAGGGCCUUUUUAGAUGGGGGACACUCCCGCUUACAAGCAGUACGUCGCUGACUUACUCGCUGGAGUUUCCACCGUCACCAUUGGCCAUUCUGUUGACAUCGUAAAGGUGAAGCUGCAAAAACACAAUACUGAAGCACAUGGGAUCAAGUACAAGAAUAGUUUGCAUUGUACUGCUAAGAUACUAAGGACUGAAGGAAUACGAGACUUAAUAGAAGCUUCCUCAGGGGUUCAUUUUUCUGGAUUUCACAUGAACGGUCUGCAGGAAAGGCAUUCAAAUGUGGACCAACCAACAACCUCUGCUACAGAUAACAUUCUUAUGCAACCUUUUGUCAUAGGGGUUGCUGGUGGAGCAGCAUCUGGUAAGACUAUAGUCUGUGAUAUGAUUAUACAGCAGCUUCAUGACCAGCGUGAUGUUCUUGUUAACCAGGAUUCUUUUUACCAUAAUUUGACACCAGAAGAACAUGCAAGAGUACAUGAAUACAAUUUUGAUCAUCCUGAUGCAUUUGAUAAUGAGAAACUUUUAGCUUCUAUGGAUAAGUUGAGGAAUGGGCAAGCAGUAGAUAUUCCAAACUAUGACUUCAAGAGUUACAAAGACAAUGUCUUCCCGCCUAGAAGGGUAAACCCUUCAGAUGUGAUAAUUUUGGAAGGCAUUCUCAUUUUUCAUGAUCCCCGUGUUCGAGAGUUGAUGAAUAUGAAGAUAUUUGUCGAUAUAGAUGCUGAUGUUCGUUUAGCAAGGAGGAUAAGGCGUGACACAGUAGAAAAAAACAGGGAUAUUGGUACAGUUCUUGAUCAGUCUUUCGCAGAGUCCGUGUAUACUGGUGUAGAUUUUUGUAAGAGAUUAUGUGGUGUGUCUAUAAUCAGGAGCGGUGAGAGUAUGGAGAAUGCUCUGAGAGCAUGUUGUAAGGGAAUCAAGAUUGGGAAAAUUCUAAUCCACAGAGAAGGAGACAAUGGCCAGCAGGAAGCUGUUUUGUGAAAUUUGCAACAACUAUUGAAGCCGACAAGGCCAUUGCAGCUCUAAACAAUCAACAUUUUUUUCCUGGGGAACAAAUGCCUAUUACGGUCAAGUAUGCAGGCAAGCCAGACAGAGAAAGAGAACGUCAUGGAUGCGGGUUUGUUAGAUUUUCUCAUCUAGACAUGGCUGUUGCAGCAAUCAGAGCAUUAAAUAGAACUUACACAGGUUGUGAUAAGCCAAUAGCUGUACGUUUUGCAGAACCUAAGAAAGUUAGGAAUGGAGAAGCAAGGAACAAUAAGAUGUUUAGUGGCAUGCCCUUUGGCCCCCAUUCUCAAGAACCAGUUGUUAGGUUAAACAGUUAGGGAAAUCACAAAGGACUAACCAGUUCUUGGAGUCUUUGAAAGCAGAAGGGGAGGUUAUCCUUGAAGAUGUGCAGCCAAAAGCAGGCCAAUCUAGAUCAUCUGCCCCACCUUUAACUGAUCCCGUCACUUUGGCUGUUGAGGAGAAACUAAAUGUAACACUAAAAUGAGAUGGUGGUGUCAGUAACUUUGAUGUUCAGGGAACACUGUCGCUGUAGAUUCUAAAUGCAGAAGAUGGGCAAAUCCCAAUUCAGGGAGCUUUGGAAGACGAACUAUCCGCAGCAGAGAGCCAGCAAAAUCCACAGACACAGUAUUAAGAUUGCGCAAAUGCGAGAUUUGGCAGGGUUUGUCGAGACAAAACUACAGCUCUUGUCUCUAAAAUCAAAUCAUCGUAUGAAUUAGAUCGGCUUUGCUGUUGCUCAUUAUUUAAACUCAAAGUAUAUUGAGAUGAUUUCUUUGGAGCAAUUUUUGACAACAUUUGUAGUUGAGGCCUUUAGAAUGGAAGAAUGUAUUUCACUAAUUUUUGUAUACAUUUCUUGUUUUGUAUUUAGUAGUAAAGGAAUCUGAAUUGGGCAUAAAUUAUGUUGUAAUAUGAUUUCUUAAGCCUAGACUAGUAGACUAAAUAUUGUAAUUACAUUUGAGUAAUUAAUAAAAAUCUAUUUAUGUUA